CUGGCGGCAGGCCUAACACAUGCAAGUCGAGCGCACCUUCGGGUGAGCGGCGGACGGGUUAGUAACGCGUGGGAACGUGCCCUUCUCUACGGAAUAGCCAUUGGAAACGAUGAGUAAUACCGUAUACGCCCUUCGGGGGAAAGAUUUAUCGGAGAAGGAUCGGCCCGCGUUAGAUUAGAUAGUUGGUGGGGUAACGGCCUACCAAGUCUACGAUCUAUAGCUGGUUUUAGAGGAUGAUCAGCAACACUGGGACUGAGACACGGCCCAGACUCCUACGGGAGGCAGCAGUGGGGAAUCUUAGACAAUGGGCGCAAGCCUGAUCUAGCCAUGCCGCGUGUGUGAUGAAGGCCCUAGGGUCGUAAAGCACUUUCGCCAGGGAUGAUAAUGACAGUACCUGGUAAAGAAACCCCGGCUAACUCCGUGCCAGCAGCCGCGGUAAUACGGAGGGGGUUAGCGUUGUUCGGAAUUACUGGGCGUAAAGCGCACGUAGGCGGAUCAGAAAGUAGGGGGUGAAAUCCCGAGGCUCAACCUCGGAACUGCCUCCUAAACUCCUGGUCUUGAGUUCGAGAGAGGUGAGUGGAAUUCCAAGUGUAGAGGUGAAAUUCGUAGAUAUUUGGAGGAACACCAGUGGCGAAGGCGG
rnacentral:rRNA from 1 species